AUUGAACGCUGGCGGCCGGCCUAACACAUGCAAGUCGAACGAGUGGCGGACGGGUGAGUAAUGUCUGGGAAACUGCCUGAUGGAGGGGGAUAACUACUGGAAACGGUAGCUAAUACCGCAUACCAUCAGAUGUGCCCAGAUGGGAUUAGCUUGUUGGUGGGGUAACGGCUCACCAAGGCGACGAUUCCUAGCUGGUCUGAGGGGAUGACCAGCCAAACAUGAACUGAGACACGGUGCAGACUCUUACGGGAGGGAGCAGUGGGGAAUAUUGCACAAUGGGCGCAAGCCUGAUGCAGCCAUGCAGGGUGUAUGAAGAAGGGCGUAGGGUUGUAAAGUACUUUCAGCGGGGAGGCGUUACCCGCAGAAGAAGCACCGGAUAACUCCGUGCCAGCAGCCGCGGUAAUG
rnacentral:rRNA from 1 species